rnacentral:lncRNA from 1 species
GGGUGGAUAUAGAUGACAGUAAAAUUUACCUCAAACUUAAUUUGGAUAUAUAAAACUCUUCAUAAAUUUGCUUCAUAAGCAAAAAUAAUAAAAUGUGUAUACAAAAAAAAAGAUUUUUGUAGUUUUAUUUGACCCAAUUUGUCCAACCAGCAUCAUCAAACUCUACCUGCCCCAUCUCAGCCUGCCAAGAUUCAAGACAAAUAUGAGAAAGGUAUGGUUAAUGGCCGAUCUAACUUAUAUUCGAUCCAUUGUCAUCUCUAUUCUAGAUUUUUUUCUUCCUCUUUUCUCUCUAGCAUCAACAAAGCCAGAGCCAUAAUAGCCUAGGAUUUUGAUGAUAGU